rnacentral:rRNA from 1 species
CAGUAGCCACGGGAAUACGAAGGGGGCUAGCGUUGUUCGGAAUUACUGGGCGUAAAGCGCACGUAGGCUGACAUUUAAGUCAGGGGUGAAAUCCCAGAGCUCAACUCUGGAACUGCCUUUGAAACUAGGUGACUAGAAUCUUGGAGAGGUCAGUGGAAUUCCGAGUGUAGAGGUGAAAUUCGUAGAUAUUCGGAAGAACACCAGUGGCGAAGGCGACUGACUGGACAAGUAUUGACGCUGAGGUGCGAAAGCGUGGGGAGCAAACAGGAUUAGAUACCCCUGUAGUCCCUGUCUCUUAUAC